UCUUCUUUUGCUGAAUGGCAUCGACUUUUCUACGAAGUAGGUACAAAUUACAACAUCGGAGAUAAUUAAUUCAACAAAAUUUGUUAUCACCAGUUUUGUACUUCGCCCACAGUUUCUAUUCGUUCAAAAAUUGCACACAGAGUCGUACAUUAAUCUUUAAAUAGCGUAGAUACUUAGUAGGUAUGCUUACAUAAAAUUUUAGCUUUCGAGCAGUUACAUUCUUAAAAUUGACCGCAGUAAUUUUUCGCGUGUGUUUUUGAUUUAACAAGCGUAAUUCUUCAACACAGCCAUUCAAAAUGAGUUGCGGAGAUGAUAUCAAUGAAGUACAAUUCAACACUUUGAAAACCAUCUCUUACAAAUAUAAUCACUUUUUUCCAAUUAGUAAGGAAAACGACUGUCUCCAUUUGAAUUUCAAAGUGAAAGCUCCCCGCGACGCUCAUAUCUUAUUUUCACCUACACUUUUCCCGGAUAAAGAAUCGCCAUUUUAUGAAAUAGUUCUGGGCGCAGGAGUAAACACGUUUUCAACAAUCCGAAGAAGACCAUUAAACGAUGACAUAGUCACUACAAGAGCUAACGAGGCCUUGGUGUCACCUAACGAAUGGCGUGAAUUCUGGAUUACAAUAAAGGGAAAUAAAAUACAAGUUGGAAGAAAAAAUGGAAAUGCUUUCUUGGAAUGGGCAGAUCCGCAACCGCUAUCGAUAAAAUAUUUUAGUUUGUCUUGCUACGAUAAUGGUACAGUUUUGUGGAUGUUCCCUGUCUUUAAAGAAGUAGACUUCCGGCUGUGAGAUUUUCUUUAUGUACUAGAUAUGGGUAAAUUAUAGAUAGAUUUUUGAUAGUUACACACAUAUACAUAUUUUAAAUCAAAUACCAAGAGAGUACAUCAAGAAGUCAAUUUGUAUAAUGUCUUAACUUCAUUGUUUUUUCAACAUUAUACGUAGUAGUAGUUGCA